rnacentral:lncRNA from 1 species
GUGGGGUCGAGCUCUGUCAUUACAUAAGAGGGACUUUGUGAUGCUUGAUCCAGUGUGUGUUGAAACGUCUAGGGUAUAGACGAAUUAAGUCAGUGAUGUGCUAUGUUAGUUGGGUGGUGACUUAAUAUAGCACUCCUGCAUGUGUUUCUUUCGUCAGGUCGCACACUCCAUUACUCAUAUGAAGAGAUGAAUGAGUAAGAGAGAAUUGGCCAAUGUGGCCAAGUGGGAGAUUGUUGCCAUAUGGUGUGUCCACAUUGGCGGGUUAUGAUUUAACCCGAUCCACAUAAGACGUCGAUUAUGAUUUAUCCUAAUAAGUUUAGGAUAAGAAUAAAUCAUAUAUUUCUUAUCAGUUAAUAAACGUAUCUACUAGUGAAUAUCUAUUAUAUGUUAAUAGAUAUCCUGAUUCUUAUCCUAAUCUAUAUGAGAUUUAGGAUAUUUAGGGGUUCCGUUAUUCUAUAUAUAUGCCCCCUUUUCUCUCCCGUAAAGAGACGAUCGAAUACGAUCAAAUUCGAAAAAAGAAUCCACGAAAUAUCUUCCUUAUUCUCUCUCUUCUUCCUUUCUGGGAUUUCCACCUACGUUCCC